UACGGAGGAUCCGAGCCUUAUCCGGAUUUAUUGGGUUUAAAGGGUGCGUAGGCGGUUUGAUAAGUUAGAGGUGAAAUGUCGGGGCUCAACCCCGAAACUGCCUCUAAUACUGUUGGACUAGAGAAUAGUUGCGGUAGGCGGAAUGUAUGGUGUAGCGGUGAAAUGCUUAGAGAUCAUACAGAACACCGAUUGCGAAGGCAGCUUACCAAACUAUAUCUGACGUUGAGGCACGAAAGCGUGGGUAGCAAACAGG
rnacentral:rRNA from 1 species